rnacentral:rRNA from 1 species
UACGGGGGGGGCAAGCGUUGUUCGGAAUUACUGGGCGUAAAGGGCUCGUAGGCGGCCAACUAAGUCAGACGUGAAAUCCCUCGGCUUAACCGGGGAACUGCGUCUGAUACUGGAUGGCUUGAGUUUGGGAGAGGGAUGCGGAAUUCCAGGUGUAGCGGUGAAAUGCGUAGAUAUCUGGAGGAACACCGGUGGCGAAGGCGGCUCUCUAGUACGGUACUGACGCUGAGACGCGAAAGCGUGGGGAGCGAACAGG